rnacentral:rRNA from 1 species
AUGCAAAUUGCUGGACUCAACACCCUCGGCAUCUCAAUUGCACGCAUCGACUAUGCUCCCUUGGGUCAAAACCCACCACACACGCACCCUCGCGCUACUGAGAUCCUCACGGUGCUCGAGGGGACACUGUAUGUUGGCUUUGUCACAUCCAACCAGCCCGCCCCCAACAGAAACAAGUUCCUCUCCAAGGUGCUCAACAAAGGUGAUGUGUUUGUCUUCCCCGUGGGGCUCAUCCACUUCCAAUUCAACCCCAACCCCCACCAGCCCGCUGUUGCAAUUGCCGCGCUAAGCAGCCAGAACCCAGGGGCUAUCACAAUUGCCAAUGCAGUGUUUGGGUCAGACCCAGCAAUAUCAGAUGAUGUUCUUGCCAAGGCAUUUCAGGUGGAAAAGAAUACAAUAGACUAUCUCCAGGCUCAGUUCUGGGAGAACAACCACUACUAA